UCACUGAAAGCAGAGCUGGGAAGAGAUGGGCAGCAGUCGCCUGUCAUUAUAUAGUAGUUCCACCACACAGGUACCGUGGACGACAUUACAUACUCAGCCCUUUGAAGUCUCCAGCCCGAAUAUGACGGAUGCGGUUGAAGCGGGCGUACAGUUCUGAUCCCCAGCAGAGUGCCAACCCCCUACUGGCGGAUAUGCCAGCAUCCCAGAGUCUCCAGGAGGGCCUCAAGGAGAGGGAAAAGCUGCUAACGAGGGAACUCAAGCUGAAAAGCAGUAUGAUUACUUCAUUUGCCCCCAUGCCAAAUGACGGCCACAAAGUUAUUUAUUCUUCUCUACAGGCCUUUAAUUGUCUCUAAUCUAAUUAUCACUCAACCUGCUCCCCCAGCGACGCUAUUAAUUAAGGUAGGUGGCUUUUCUAGGCACAGCGGAGUUCUUGCAUUUCUUUGCUUCCUAUCCAGUUUGUGCACUCAGGAAGAAGCAUUAGGAACAGCCGGCCUCUCCCUUUGUUUUCUUUUUUCCUCCCCUGCAGCUGUUUCCCCUUCUCUCCCUGAUCCUCUACUCCAUAUAGCUCU